rnacentral:lncRNA from 1 species
CAACUGGUCAAAGUUCACCGAGAAUGUGGGAAGUCGAAAGCGUGAAUGGAAAAAAAAUCGUUUUGUAUAUAAAAAGCGUAAUUAUAAAAGCAUAUAUUUUUAAUGAGUUUAUGUAUAUUUUAAAUGUAAAUGCUAAAAAAUAGUUGCAAGUACUCCGGUAAGUUUGUCUUUGUAAUUCCGCCAAGAAAUAAAACUACUCCCGAGCGGUAAAAUCAUUCUUUUUUUUAUAUUAUGUUUGAAUAUGAUAAUUAAAUGCAAUGUAAUGAUUUAUCCAAAUAUACACAUUAUGUGACCAUAUGCUUCCGGUACCAAAUGCUGCCGGAAGUUGGAGGAUCGCGGACGGACAUAUAAGGCAGAAGAUGGGCUUCAUUCUUCCUCUUCAUCCGCGGCUCCCAUCGAGUGAGGAGUGAGUUUCUGGGGUGAGCUGUGUAAAUUGAAAUGGCCUGUGCCAGAUCAUUGGUGUAUUCAGAGAGCGCAUCCUGUAAAAUAGUAGUCAUGCCGGCAGUGUUGAGGGUGCCUGCUCACUUCGACGUUGUGAACUUUGUGCGCCAGAACCACUGACCAUACGCAGCCUGUGAAUUGGCUGACCAAUGGUGAGUCUUGGGGCGCAGCUAGAGACGUAUCCAGCACAGGUGGCCAUGCAUCUUGUACAAUGAAGACUUUUGCCUGAACAGGGCUUUCAAGAACAUUCCAGGUUUGCACUGAUUCACUUCAAGUUUGCAUUUUGUGGAACCUGUGAUCUCAGUGGAUCUGUUAUUUACAGCUAUGCAAUAAGCAAGUUAUGGUAGAGUAAUUCCUGUAAGACUGCGUGUGACUCUUUUCUACGUUUACAACUACAGCAUAUAAACCUGCACUAGGUUUAAAGUAUCUUUGUGUAGUGAACCACAUGUGGCGCUGAGUGUUGCUUCUGUGUUGAGCACCUCCGCAGCCAUGUGUCUCCUUUUUAAAUCAUGUAAGUUUACAGCCGAUCUACGCCCAAACCUCAUUGGGUCAAUUUUACUUGGGCUGUGCAAUCUGUGAGGAAUAAACAGUGUAGUUUGGUGGUAGUAGCCUAGUGG